rnacentral:rRNA from 1 species
AUUGAACGCUGGCGGCAGGCCUAACACAUGCAAGUCGAACGGUAACAGGAAGAAGCUUGCUUCUUUGCUGACGAGUGGCGGACGGGUGAGUAAUGUCUGGGAAACUGCCUGAUGGAGGGGGAUAACUACUGGAAACGGUAGCUAAUACCGCAUAACGUCGCAAGACCAAAAAGGGGGACCUUCGGGCCUCUUGCCAUCGGAUGUGCCCAGAUGGGAUUAGCUAGUAGGUGGGGUAACGGCUCACCUAGGCGACGAUCCCUAGCUGGUCUGAGAGGAUGACCAGCCACACUGGAACUGAGGCACGGUCCAGACUCCUACGGGAGGCAGCAGUGGGGAAUAUUGCACAAUGGGCGCAAGCCUGAUGCAGCCAUGCCGCGUGUAUGAAGAAGGCCUUCGGGUUGUAAAGUACUUUCAGCGGGGAGGAAGGGAGUAAAGUUAAUACCUUUGCUCAUUGACGUUACCCGCAGAAGAAGCACCGGCUAACUCCGUG